GUCUAAGGCCAUACCACCCUGAAUGUACCCAAUCUCAUCUGGCCUUGGAAGCUAAGCAGGGUGGGCCUCAUUAGUACUUGGAUGGGAGAAAGAUCGUCAAAAGAGACUUCUCAGAGA
rnacentral:rRNA from 1 species